rnacentral:rRNA from 1 species
AACGAACGCUGGCGGCAUGCCUAACACAUGCAAGUCGAACGAGACCUUCGGGUCUGGUGGCGCACGGGUGCGUAACGCGUGGGAACUAGCCCUUAGGUUCGGAAUAACUCCCCGAAGGGGGUGCUAAUACCGGUUAAUGUCAUCGCACCAAAGAUUUAUCGCGUUUGGGUGGGCGCGGGUUGGAUUAGCUAGUUGGUAGGGUAAAAGCCUGCCAAGGCGACGUUCCAUAGCUGGUCGGAGAGGAUGAUCAGCCACGCUGGGACUGAGACACGGCCCAGACUCCUACGGGAGGGAGCAGUGGGGAAUAUUGGACGAUGGGGGAAAGCCUGAUCCAGCAAUGCCGGGUGAGUGAUGAAGGCCUUAGGGUUGUAAAGCUCUUUUAGCCGGGAUGAUAAUGACAGUACCGGGAGAAUAAGCUCCGGCUAACUCCGUG